rnacentral:lncRNA from 1 species
AUUGUUGGUGGUCGGCGGGGUAGAGGGAGGCCUAGGAAGCAUUGGGGAGAGGUGAUUAGGCAGGGCAUGACUAGUAUGCAGGUUACCGAGGACUUGACCCUUGAUAGGGGAGUCUGGAGGUCUAGAAUCAGGGUUGCAGGCUAGGGGCUCUUAGAGUACUUCGUUCGCCCCACCCGGAGUUGGGUGUGGGAUAGUAGGGUUAACCGUAGAUGACUAGUGUUUUAGCGUAGGUCCCCUCUUGGUUGGUAAUAUGAUAGUUGUCGCUUGUUAUUGUCGCAUGCGACGGUAUUUUUGUUUCUUAUGUUUACAUAAUCAUUUUCGUUAUUUCUGCAGGAUUUCUUAUGCUUUCUUUUGUUAUUGUGUUUUGUCUUGUCCUGGUUCCUAACUUUAUCUUUGUUUUCCAAUGCAGCUUUUCAUUCUGUCCUAUGCGCCGAGGGUCACUUGGAAGCAGCCUCUUUGCCCUUUUGGGUAGGUGUAAGGCUGUCUACAUAUUACCUUCCACAGACCCCACAUGGUGGGAGUAUACUGGGUAGUUGUUGUUGUUGUUGUUGUUGUAACAUGACUGUUAUUACAAAAAGGCAAAAACUACAAAGGCAGUCCCCACGCAUAUUCCAAACUAAAGCAUUGCCAUGGCUAAUAUGAAAGCAACCGUGACGAUAGUAAAAAAAAAAAAAAGAAACCCGUCCACAAUUGCACUUGAAUUGUAAACAACUCAAGCAUGCUGAGAUUA